rnacentral:rRNA from 1 species
UUUGUCUAUCUUACUAUCUUAACACCAAAGGCAGCCUGUACUCAUCUGGAUUCAGAAGCUAAGUGGGAUUGGGCUUUAUUAGACUUGGGUGAAUGACAUCUCCAAGGAAUAUCAAGGUGGUAGUCUAAA